rnacentral:rRNA from 1 species
UACGUAGGGCGCAAGCGUUUGUCCGGAAUUAUUGGGCGUAAAGAGCUCGUAGGCGGUUUGUCGCGUCUGCUGUGAAAACCUAAGGCUCAACCUUGGGCUUGCAGUGGGUACGGGCAGACUAGAGUGCGGUAGGGGUGACUGGAAUUCCUGGUGUAGCGGUGAAAUGCGCAGAUAUCAGGAGGAACACCGAUGGCGAAGGCAGGUCUCUGGGCAUUAACUGACGCUGGAGGAGCGAAAGCAUGGGGAGCGAAUGGG